GAUGAACGCUGGCGGCGUGCUUAACACAUGCAAGUCGAACGGAAAGGCCCAAGCUUGCUUGGGUACUCGAGUGGCGAACGGGUGAGUAACACGUGGGUGAUCUGCCCUGCACUUCGGGAUAAGCCUGGGAAACUGGGUCUAAUACCGGAUAGGACCACAUUCUGGAUGGUGUGGUGGAAAGUUUUUCGGUGUGGGAUGAGCUCGCGGCCUAUCAGCUUGUUGGUGGGGUAAUGGCCUACCAAGGCGUCGACGGGUAGCCGGCCUGAGAGGGUGUACGGCCACAUUGGGACUGAGAUACGGCCCAGAGUCCUACGGGAGGCAGCAGUGGGGAAUAUUGCACAAUGGGCGCAAGCCUGAUGCAGCGAAGCCGCGUGGGGGAUGACGGCCUUCGGGUUGUAAACUCCUUUCGCUAGGGACGAAGCGUUUUUGUGACGGUACCUGGAGAAGAAGCACCGGCUAACUACGUG
rnacentral:rRNA from 1 species